rnacentral:rRNA from 1 species
GCGAACGCUGGCGGCAUGGCUAAAGCAUGCAAGUCGCACGGUUAAAGCCCCUUCGGGGGUGUAUAAAGUGGCGAAAGGGCGAGGAAUACGUUCCUAACGUACCCCGAGGUCGAGGAUAGCCCAGGGAAACCUGGAGUAAUACUCGAUGUGGUCCGUCGUCAGGCGGAUCAAAGGUUCGCCGCCUUGGGAGCGGGGAACGUCUUAUCAGGUUGUUGGUGGGUAACGGCUCACCAAGCCGAAGACGGGUAGCGGGUGUGAGAGCACGACCGCCGCAUCGGGACUGAGACACUGCCCGGACUCCUACGGGAGGCUGCAGCAACGAAUCUUCCGCAAUGCGCGAAAGCGUGACGGAGCAAUGCCGCGUGCAGGAUGAAGCCCUUCGGGGUGUAAACUGCUGUCAGGGUUUAGCAACACAAUGAGCAGACCCAAAGGAAGGGCCGGCUAACUUCGUG